UAUUAUAAGACAUUAAAAGACUAUUUGAUACAACCCUUGAUGGAGGUCUGCAAUGAAAUUAUGGAGGGGAAGAGGGCACCGGAUUCGUGGAAGGAAGCGUUCAUCACAUUAAUACCAAAGUCAGAAGCUGAAAAGACACAACUGAAGAACUACCGUCCCAUCUCUCUUUUAAAUGUGGAUUACAAAAUAUUUGCAGAUAUUUUGGCAAGUAGAUUUAAAAAGUAUUAAAUGAAGUAAUUCAUAAGGACCAGGCCGGUUUUCUCCCAGGUAGACAUCUGUUUGCUAACACAAGGAACAUUAUUGACAUCUUGGAACUUCUGCAAACAGAUAUAAAUACAAAAGCAGUUUUAAUUUUCAUAGAUGCGGAGAAGGCCUUUGACAAUAUUUCCUGGAAAUUUAUGAUGGGAAAUUUAAAAGAGAUGGGAGUGGGACGGGGUUUUGAGAAUGGGAUUGAGGCGAUAUAUUCAGAACAGAAAGCUAAACUGAUAGUUAAUAAUGUGGUCACAGAAGAGUUCAAAAUUGAAAAAGGGACACGACAAGGUUGCCCUAUCUCCCCUUUGUUAUUUAUUUCGGUUCUGGAAGUGCUACUGAACAUGAUUAGAGGGGAUCGGUUGGUGGAAGGAAUUCAGGUUGGUCAGAAACAAUAUAAACUAAAAGCUUUUGCAGAUGACCUGGUUUUGACCCUGCAGAAGCCAGAGCCCAGUACGAAAAGAGUAUUACAAUUGAUUAAUGAUUUUGGUCGGGUGGCGGGAUUUAAAUUAAAUAAACAGAAAACUAAGGUUUUGGGGAAAAAUUUGACUGAUACAGAGUCAGAACGGUUUCAGAAUGAGACGGAACUUAAUGUGGUUAAAAAGUAAAAUACCUAGGGGUAAACAUAACAGCAAAAAUCUAAGUCUAUUUAAGGAUAACUAUGAAAAAUGUUGGACAGAAAUUAAGAGAGACUUAGACAGUUGGUCAAAAUUGAAACUUUCUUUGUUAGGCCGAAUUGCUGCUAUUAAGAUGAAUGUAUUGCCAAGGAUGUUGUUUUUAUUUCAAACACUUCAGGUUUUGGACAAAACGGAGUGCUUUCAGAAGUGGCAGAGAGAUAUUUCGAAGUUUGUCUGGCAGGGCAAAAAGCCCAGAAUCAAGUUUAAGAUAUUAACUGAUGCAAAACAAAGAGGGGGCUUUGCCCUGCCGGACUUAAAGUUGUAUUAUGAAGCCGCAGCGUUCUGCUGGCUAAAAGACUGGCUACUUCUUGAAGACACUGAUGUGUUGGAUUUGGAAGGGUUUAAUAAUGUUUUUGGAUGGCAUGCAUAUUUAUGGUAUGACAAAGUUAAAGCAAAUAAGGCCUUCAAGAACCAUAUUGUCAGAAAAUCAUUGUUUAAUGUCUGGACAAAAUAUAAAGACUUGCUGGAAAAUAAAACACCAAGGUGGCUUUCACCUUUGGAAGCUAAGGCCCGAAAAAGACCCAAUAUGGAGGCUAAAUGGCCAAAAUAUUGGGAAAUACUAGAAAAGAUGGAGACAAUUGGAAAUUGCAGAGUUUGGAGAAAAUGAAAGACAAAGUGCGAGAUUGGUUACAUUACGCUCAGAUUAAAGAAGUUUUUAAAAAUGAUAAGAAACUAGGGUUCCAGGUGGAGAAAUCGAAAUUAGAAACAGAAUUGUUAGAACCAAAGACUAAGGUACUUUCAAGGAUGUAUAACUUGCUGUUGGAAUGGAAUACACAAGAUGAAAUGGUUAAAUCGGCUAUGAUAAGGUGGGCACAGGACAUUGGGUAUAAUAUUAUGUUUGAGGACUGGGAAAAGUUGUGGAGUAAUGGAUUGAAAUUUACUGCAUGUAACGCUCUGAAAGAAAAUGUAAUGAAAAUGAUUUAUAGAUGGUAUAUGACCCCAGUUAAACUUGCAAAAAUUUACCACCUGUCUGAUAAUAAGUGUUGGAAAUGUAAAGAGUGUGAGGGAACGUUCUUCCACCUCUGGUGGACCUGCCCUAAAGUGAAGGCGUUCUGGGAAAUGAUUUAUAAUGAAUUGAAAAAGGUAUUUAAAUAUACCUUUACCAAGAAACCAGAGGCUUUCCUUCUGGGUAUUGUCAGCCAAGGGGUGGCAAAGAAGGACCAGACAUUUUUUAUGUAUGCAACAACAGCAGCAAGGAUACUUCUUGCAAAACAUUGGAAAACUCAAGAUUUACCCACACUGGAAGAAUGGCAGAUGCAACUGAUAGACUACAUGGAACUGGCUGAAAUGACCGGCAGAAUCCGUGACCUGGGAGAAGAGAGAAUCGAGGAGGAUUGGAAGAAAUUUAAGAACUAUCUACAAAAAUAUUGUGAUUUGAGUGAAUGCUAAAUAAGAUGCUAGACUAAAUAACUGAGCACCACUUAACUUAGAAGUUUUUAAGAAAAUAAGUAAGACUGUGAAAGUUUAACUCUUUAUGAGAACUAUAAGAUUAUGAAACAUUGAAGAGAUAUAAGAAUUUAAAUAAGAUGAUAAAUUGCUGACAAAAUGUUAUAACGAUGAAAGUGGGAGCGGGGGAUGUGAGGAAGUCCAAAGAAAAUGUGAAACUAUGUUAAGACAAAUGUUAUAUUGUUUAUUAUGUUUAUUCUUAUUGUAAAACCCAAUAAAUUGCUUU